UCCUUUCUGGUGUAGUGGUUAAUAUCUUCGCCUUCUGCUAGUGAAAGACUGGGAGGUCUGGUGUUCGAAUCCCUUGGGUGGAU